rnacentral:rRNA from 1 species
CAGGCUUAACACAUGCAAGUCGAGGGGCAGCAUGGUCUUAGCUUGCUAAGGCCGAUGGCGACCGGCGCACGGGUGAGUAACGCGUAUCCAACCUGCCUUACACUCUUGGACAGCCUUCUGAAAGGGAGAUUAAUACAAGAUGUUAUCAUGAGUAAGCAUUUUCGCAUGAUUAAAGGUUUACCGGUGUAAGAUGGGGAUGCGUUCCAUUAGAUAGUAGGCGGGGUAACGGCCCACCUAGUCUUCGAUGGAUAGGGGUUCUGAGAGGAAGGUCCCCCACAUUGGAACUGAGACACGGUCCAAACUCCUACGGGAGGCAGCAGUGAGGAAUAUUGGUCAAUGGACGAGAGUCUGAACCAGCCAAGUAGCGUGAAGGAUGAAGGUUCUAUGGAUUGUAAACUUCUUUUAUACGGGAAUAAACGAGUCCACGCGUGGAUUUUUGCAUGUACCGUAUGAAUAAGGAUCGGCUAACUCCGUGCCAGCAGCCGCGGUAAUACGGAGGAUCCGAGCGUUAUCCGGAUUUAUUGGGUUUAAAGGGAGCGUAGAUGGGUUGUUAAGUCAGUUGUGAAAGUUUGCGGCUCAACCGUAAAAUUGCAAUUGAUACUGGCAGUCUUGAGUACAGUUGAGGUAGGCGGAAUUCGUGGUGUAGCGGUGAAAUGCUUAGAUAUCACGAAGAACUCCGAUUGCGAAGGCAGCUUACUAACCUGUAACUGACAUUGAUGCUCGAAAGUGUGGGUAUCAAACAGGAUUAGAUACCCUGGUAGUCCACACGGUAAACGAUGAAUACUCGCUGUAGGCGAUAUACAGUCUGCGGCCAAGCGAAAGCAUUAGGUAUUCCACCUGGGGAGUACGCCGGCAACGGUGAAACUCAAAGGAAUUGACGGGGGCCCGCACAAGCGGAGGAACAUGUGGUUUAAUUCGAUGAUACGCGAGGAACCUUACCCGGGCUUAAAUUGCAACCGAAUAUGGCGGAAACGCUAUAGCUAGCAAUAGCGGUUGUGAAGGUGCUGCAUGGUUGUCGUCAGCUCGUGCCGUGAGGUGUCGGCUUAAGUGCCAUAACGAGCGCAACCCUUGCCGAUAGUUACUAACAGGUUAUGCUGAGGACUCUGUCGGGACUGCCAUCGUAAGAUGUGAGGAAGGUGGGGAUGACGUCAAAUCAGCACGGCCCUUACGUCCGGGGCUACACACGUGUUACAAUGGGGGGUACAGAGGGCUGCUACCACGCAAGUGGAUGCCAAUCCCAAAAACCUCUCUCAGUUCGGAUUGAAGUCUGCAACCCGACUUCAUGAAGCUGGAUUCGCUAGUAAUCGCGCAUCAGCCACGGCGCGGUGAAUACGUUCCCGGGCCUUGUACACACCGCCCGUCAAGCCAUGGGAGCCGGGGGUACCUGAAGUGCGUAACCGCAAGGAGCGCCCUAGGGUAAAACUGGUGACUGGGGC